GGCGCGCGCGCGCGCGCGCACACAGACGCGCGCGUGUUUAAUAAGUAUAUGUAAAACGUAUGUUGUAUAGAUGUAUAUGUGUCGCAUGGAGCGAAAAGAUGUCGACUUACAUAACGAUUCGAAGAUGAAUUCCCAGGACGAAUUUUGAAUAUUGUGAUAGAGAUGAAGAGAAAGAGAAAGCGGGGAUAGAGAGAGAUUGUUUUUUUUUUUUUUAGUAAG